rnacentral:sRNA from 1 species
AAAAAAGAAAGAGAAAUUGAAAGAUAAGCCCGGGAUUGCGGUGUCAAAUCCAUUUUGCACACCUCAUUGGAAGAAAUACCGAACAUCUACGCAUGCCCUUAUAAUAGUAUGCUGAAGUGAUGUGAUGCCUCUGUGUUUAAGACAUAAGUGUUUUUUUUUUUGUUUUUUCUAUUGGUUUACAUCUUGAGAUGGAUUCAUCCAUCACCUUCGAUUGUGUUGUGUUGUGUUGUGUGUUGUGUUGUGUGUUGUGUAUGUGACUCUUGAUUCUCUCCACCACAGUCCAAAGAAAAAGUAGCUUUCAACCCUGUACUGGAGUGGUGUAUAUUUUAUUCUGGUUUUAAAUCUUGUACACAAAAUUAAUGUAGUUUAAUUGUCAUUAAAAAAUGUUUAAAAUUUUUGACGGUUUGUACAUGUGUACAUUUACUUCUCGUAUCUCCACGUCCAAGAACUAGAUCUCUUCAGCAGCCAACAGACACAGAAUUUACAAGACCGGUUUUUGCUCCUUAUCUUAAGCUUCUGUAAAAGUUUUAUCUCGCCUUCACACAACAUUGCCACCUACCAUUUGCUGUAGUUUUUUUGGUUUUUCAAAUCUUGGGGUUGUUGAAAGUUUUGAACUUUCUUGAUUCAAUUGCAAGUAUGGUCUUGAAUGCAUACUUCUAAGAAAAGGAGGUCAUGCAUUAUUCUGGCUCCUACUGCUGCUUCUCUCUGCAUCCAAGACCUGGUGUCGGUUUAGACUUAGAAUUCCUGAUUCCGGAUUGUUGAAGUAAGUAAACUUAUUACCAGUGUUUGGUUAAUGGGAGAUUUAUUAUUCAGUAUUCUCUUGAGAUUUAUUAGUGUUUGGUUUUUCUUCCUUAAUUUGAAUUUUCCUGAAGAAAUUAUGGUUAUUGUAUUCUGC